UGGGGAAUUUUGGACAAUGGGCGCAAGCCUGAUCCAGCCAUGCCGCGUGCGGGAAGAAGGCCUUCGGGUUGUAAACCGCUUUUGUCAGGGAAGAAAUCUUCUGAGUUAAUACCUCGGGAGGAUGACGGUACCUGAAGAAUAAGCACCGGCUAACUACGUGCCAGCAGCCGCGGUAAUACGUAGGGUGCAAGCGUUAAUCGGAAUUACUGGGCGUAAAGCGUGCGCAGGCGGUUUUGUAAGACAGAGGUGAAAUCCCCGGGCUCAACCUGGGAACUGCCUUUGUGACUGCAAGGCUUGAGUGCGGCAGAGGGGGAUGGAAUUCCGCGUGUAGCAGUGAAAUGCGUAGAUAUGCGGAGGAACACCGAUGGCGAAGGCAAUCCCCUGGGCCUGCACUGACGCUCAUGCACGAAAGCGUGGGGAGCAAACAGGAUUAGAUACCCUGGUAGUCCACGCCCUAAACGAUGUCAACUGGUUGUUGGGAAGGUUCCUUCUCAGUAACGUAGCUAACGCGUGAAGUUG
rnacentral:rRNA from 1 species